GACGAACGCUGGCGGCGUGCCUAAUACAUGCAAGUUGAGCGCUGAAGGUUGGUACUUGUACCGACUGGAUGAGCAGCGAACGGGUGAGUAACGCGUGGGGAAUCUGCCUUUGAGCGGGGGACAACAUUUGGAAACGAAUGCUAAUACCGCAUAAAAACUUUAAACACAAGUUUUAAGUUUGAAAGAUGCAAUUGCAUCACUCAAAGAUGAUCCCGCGUUGUAUUAGCUAGUUGGUGAGGUAAAGGCUCACCAAGGCGAUGAUACAUAGCCGACCUGAGAGGGUGAUCGGCCACAAUUGGACUGAGACACGGCCCAAACUCCUACGGGAGGCAGCAGUAGGGAAUCUUCGGCAAUGGACGAAAGUCUGACCGAGCAACGCCGCGUGAGUGAAGAAGGUUUUCGGAUCGGAAAAAUCUGUUGGUAGAGAAGAACGUUGGUGGGAGUGGAAAGCUCAUCAAGUGACGGUAACUAACCAGAAAGGGACGGCUAACUACGUU
rnacentral:rRNA from 1 species